GACGUAGGAGGCGAGCGUUGUCCGGAUUCAUUGGGCGUAAAGAGCGCGCAGGCGGCUUGGUAAGUCGGAUGUGAAAUCCCGAGGCUCAACCUCGGGUCUGCAUCCGAUACUGCCCGGCUAGAGGUAGGUAGGGGAGAUCGGAAUUCCUGGUGUAGCGGUGAAAUGCGUAGAUAUCUGGAGGAAUACCGGUGGCGAAGGCGGCAUCCUGGACCGACAUUGACGCUGAGGAGCGAAAGCUAGGGGAGCAAACGGG
rnacentral:rRNA from 1 species